UUGCACCGUCUACUGUGUCUAUUGCGUCCGGUGCAACCCGGGCCGCAGGUGUGGCUGAUCGAUUUCAAAAAUAGUUCCACCUUCCGCAUAUCGAAUAAUAGUUUCCCCUUCUGCAUUACUUCUUUGAUUUGGUAAGCUGCAGUGUCUGUAUUUUUUAAAAUAUGAUUGUUUCCCUCAUCUAUAUUUUACCAUGUGAUUUCUUUCACUGCAUAAGGUCCGUAAUUGUAUUGAAAUUUGGAUUGCUUAUUGUAUUGUCUUCAAUAAUAUAAAGUUUAUUCCUGAAUUAAUGAA
rnacentral:lncRNA from 1 species